CAAAUGUGAUGGGAGGAGAAGGGUAAUGUAAGGCUGAAACACAAAGGGGAAGGAGGAGAGAGGGACUUUGCUGGGUAGUCACACCCCAUGAAAUGAUUAGCACCUGUCUGGGUUACUGCACAAUGAGAGAGAAACUGUUUCCAUUACGUCUCCUGAGAAAUAUCUGAUUUCCAGUGCUACAGAAGUACCCGGGGAUGCUCAGGAGUGAUGCAUCCCAACAAAGAGGACAUCAGGCAAAAAUGCCAGGAGGCCUGCAAUGAUGAACAAGGAGCUUCUGGCAAACUCAGAUAGAAAAAGGAGGCCUGCAAAGGGUGGGAGGAAGGAUAAAUAGCCUGGGAAGAAUACAGAGAAAUAGUCUGGGCAGCCAGGGAUCAUGUUAGGUAAACUGAAGCCCUAUUAGAAUCAAAUUUGGCCAGGGACAUCAAGGGCAACAAUAAAGGCUUCUAUAGGUACAUCAGGGAUAAAAGGAAGAAUAAAGAAACUGUGGACCUUCUCUGGAAAGAAAUUGGAAACCUGAUCACCCAGGAUAUGGAGAAUUCUGAAGUAUUCAAUGACAUUUUUUUGCCUUGGUCUUCACGAGGUAGAGCUCACACAUGGCCCAGGCCCCAGAAAGCAAGACAAAGACUGGGAGAAUGGUGAACCGCCCACUGCAGAAGAACAGGUUUGAGACCAUCUGAGGAACCUGAAGGUGCACAAGUCCAACGGACCUGAUGAGAUGCAUCUGCGGAUCCUGAGGAACUGGUGAAUGUAGUUGCUAAGACAAUGUUCAUCAUAUUUGAGACGUUGUGGCAGUCUGGUGAAGUUCCCACUGACUAGAAGAGGGGAAACAGAACCCCCAUUUUUAAAAAGGAAAAAAAGUUCCUGUGGAACUACAGGACACUGGAUCCACUCCUAGUGCUCAUCUUUUUUUUUUCUUUCUAAGUGCUCAUUUUUUUUUUUUUUUCCUUUCUAAGGCUUAAUAGUAUGAAACAGGUAAUUCAUUUCAUGAGUUAUCACUGCUAAUCAGGCAUGUUACUCUAAUCCCUAGAGGCUGCAGAUGGAAAAGAAAUGCCCUCUUCCCUUGGAGCUAGUGAGUACUGUCUGUGAAAGUGAAAAGAAAAACAUGCUUUUGCCUUAGAGACACAAAACCUUGUUUGCUUUGUGUUAUUGAAUAUUAAGUGGUUAUAAAGUUUGUGAAAGAGAGGA